AUUGGUUCCACUAGAUUAUUCUUCGAUCAUCGUCGAUCAAUCAUCUCAUUGCAUAAAUCUCACUAUAGGCCCUCAGGAUCCCAGCUAGGUCACAUGGAGCCAAGUCCCAUGCAUCGGUGGCUGGGAGAGGUUGGCAAUGGUCAGUGGUCAUAGGAGGUUCGUGAUUAGAAUCAGAUCAAAAUCCUCGAUGGUUGCAUCACUGCAUAACACAAAUCAUCCAAAGAUGAGUCCC
rnacentral:lncRNA from 1 species